AGUUGGCUGAUUGUCACCACACCAACUGACCCAGAAUGGCCAUGGCUGAAGCCUGCUGGAUGUCACCACCUGCUCUUUGCCACCCAUUCUUUUCUGGUUUGCCUUCUCCUAUCUUGCUUCCAGUCUACCAGCUUCAAAAGGAAAAAAGCUAGCUGAAGAGACCUGCACUACUGGUUAUUUGAUGCAUCCAGCCCCUCAGCCAUGUAAAUUUUCUUACAUACAAAUGUUCAUUGCCAUCUUUUACAUUCCUCUGCUGACAGUGAAGAGGUCGUGCUAAAUCAAACUGAUGGAGAAACUGGACAUCAUCUUUACCCUGAAUGCCCAGAUUAAUUCUACCAGAACAGAGUUUCAUGAUUGGAAGAUUGAGGCUGGAAGUAGUCUCUGAUAGGCAUCUUGUCUAAACUACCUGAUCAAGAAGUCACCUAGAGCAGAUUGCCCAGGAUUAUGUCCAGAUGGCUUUUAAUCUUCUUUGCCCUGGAGACAGAUACACAUAACUUGGCACUGAUCUGCUAGCAAGAAAACUUCAACACAUCAAUAUUGGAAGCUUAUGUCCAGUGCUCCCAUUUUAAUAGAAGAGCAUUGCACAGA